rnacentral:rRNA from 1 species
GACAGAGGGGUGCAAAACGUUUGUUCGGAAUUACUGGGGCGUAAAGCGCGUGUAGGCGGCCCCAGCAAGUCGGAUGUGAAAGCCCCUGGGCUUAACCUAGGAAGUGCAUUCGAAACUGCUGGGGCUUGAGUUCUGGGAGAGGAAGGCGGAAUUCUCGGUGUAGAGGUGAAAUUCGUAGAUAUCGAGAGGAACACCGGUGGCGAAGGCGGCCUUCUGGGACAGUGACUGACGCUGAGACGGCGAAAAGCGUGGGGGAGCAAACAGG